GGGGGGGGNCUUACCAUGCAAGUCGAACGGUGAAGCCCAGCUUGCUGGGUGGAUCAGUGGCGAACGGGUGAGUAACACGUGAGCAAUCUGCCCCUGACUCUGGGAUAAGCGCUGGAAACGGCGUCUAAUACUGGAUACGAACAGCGACCGCAUGGUCAGUUGUUGGAAAGAAUUUCGGUCAGGGAUGAGCUCGCGGCCUAUCAGCUUGUUGGUGAGGUAAUGGCUCACCAAGGCGUCGACGGGUAGCCGGCCUGAGAGGGUGACCGGCCACACUGGGACUGAGACACGGCCCAGACUCCUACGGGAGGCAGCAGUGGGGAAUAUUGCACAAUGGGCGCAAGCCUGAUGCAGCAACGCCGCGUGAGGGACGACGGCCUUCGGGUUGUAAACCUCUUUUAGCAGGGAAGAAGCGAAAGUGACGGUACCUGCAGAAAAAGCGCCGGCUAACUACGUGCCAGCAGCCGCGGUAAUACGUAGGGCGCAAGCGUUAUCCGGAAUUAUUGGGCGUAAAGAGCUCGUAGGCGGUUUGUCGCGUCUGCUGUGAAAUCCCGAGGCUCAACCUCGGGUCUGCAGUGGGUACGGGCAGACUAGAGUGCGGUAGGGGAGAUUGGAAUUCCUGGUGUAGCGGUGGAAUGCGCAGAUAUCAGGAGGAACACCGAUGGCGAAGGCAGAUCUCUGGGCCGUAACUGACGCUGAGGAGCGAAAGGGUGGGGAGCAAACAGGCUUAGAUACCCUGGUAGUCCACCCCGUAAACGUUGGGAACUAGUUGUGGGGUCCAUUCCACGGAUUCCGUGACGCAGCUAACGCAUUAAGUUCCCCGCCUGGGGAGUACGGCCGCAAGGCUAAAACUCAAAGGAAUUGACGGGGACCCGCACAAGCGGCGGAGCAUGCGGAUUAAUUCGAUGCAACGCGAAGAACCUUACCAAGGCUUGACAUAUACGAGAACGGGCCAGAAAUGGUCAACUCUUUGGACACUCGUAAACAGGUGGUGCAUGGUUGUCGUCAGCUCGUGUCGUGAGAUGUUGGGUUAAGUCCCGCAACGAGCGCAACCCUCGUUCUAUGUUGCCAGCACGUAAUGGUGGGAACUCAUGGGAUACUGCCGGGUCACUCGGAGGAAGGNGGGGAUGACGUCAAUCAUCAUGCCCCUUAUGUCUGGGCUUCCGCAUGCUCAAUGGCCGGACAAGGGUGNAUACCGUAGNGGGNNCAAUCC
rnacentral:rRNA from 1 species